rnacentral:rRNA from 1 species
UACUUAACAGCUAGCCUUUUAUUUAAAUACAACAAUUCAAUAUUAAUACCCCCUAAUUCACUAAAUUUCAAUAAACAAACCAUUUUUCCCCCUUAGUAUGGGCGACAGAAAAGGGAAGAAAGAGCAAUAGAGAAAGUACCGCAAGGGAAUGCUGAAAGAGAAAUGAAACAAAUCAGUAAAGUUUAAAAAAGCAGAGAUUAGUACU